CUCACGUCCGAGUCAAGCCGCCGUACGGGUGUAUGGCUGUGUGCCCCGUUCUCGGAAGCGUCGACGGGCUUCCGGCAUGCGGAUUUCAGAGUUUGGACUCGACUUUUGGUGAGGAUGUCGAUCGACCUUGGGCCUGGUGACAGCACACCCGACAUGGCCAAAGUGCAGCCUAUCAGUUGAGUGCCCCCGAAUAGACCAUCAACAUCGGAAAAUGAAGCAGAGCCAGGGAGAAAAAGUUCCGGUAACACCAUGCAUUCAGUAUGGUGGCCCAGACGUGUAUGCAAGCAACCUCCUUCAUGUUGACCAAGAACUACUCUUCAGUGUCUCGCAGACUUCCAUGCGAAGCCCUCAACAUUCUCGUCUCAGUGGAAUGGCUGCUCAUCUAUCAGCGUGUCCAUCACCAAGACUGCCAGUUGUAAAGCUUCUGAACCCGUUUAAGAAAGCUUAGUGAUUUUUU